rnacentral:rRNA from 1 species
GACGAACGCUGGCGGCGUGCUUAACACAUGCAAGUCGAACGAAGAGCGACGGAAGCUUGCUUCUAUCAAUCUUAGUGGCGAACGGGUGUGUAACGCGUAAUCAACCUGCCCUUCCGAGGGGGACCACAGUUGGAAACGACUGCUUAUACCGUAUCCGUUCUAAUCACGGCAUCGUGGUUGGAUGAAAGCUGGUCUCUACCUGUAAGCUAUAACUGAAGGAGGGGAUUGCGUAUGAUUAGCUAGUUGGGGGGGUGACGGCCCACCAAGGCGAUGAUCAGUAGCCGGUCUGAGAGGAUGAACGGCCACAUUAGGACUGAGACACGGCCCAGACUCCUACGGGAGGCAGCAGUGGGGAAUCUUCCGCAAUGGACGAAAGUCUGACGGAGCAACGCCGCGUGAGUGAUGACGGCCGUCGGGUUGUAAAGCUCUGUUGAUCGGGACGAAAGGCCUUCUUGCGAAUAGGGAGAAGGAUUGACGGUACCGGAAUAGAAAGCCACGGCUAACUACGUG